UACGGAGGGUGCGAGCGUUGUUCGGAAUCACUGGGCGUAAAGCGCGUGUAGGCGGCCCACUAAGUCUGAUGUGAAAGCCCGGGGCUCACCCCCGGAAGUGCAUUGGAAACUGGUGGACUCGAGUCCCGGAGAGGAGAGUGGAAUUCCUGGUGUAGCGGUGAAAUGCGUAGAUAUCAGGAGGAACACCAAUGGCGAAGGCAGCACUCUGGGACGUGACUGACGCUGAGACGCGAAAGCGUGGGGAGCAAACAGG
rnacentral:rRNA from 1 species